AGCCACUGUCGCAGGGAGAGUGAAGCUGCUGGAAGUAACAACGGGGAGCCCCUUUGUAUCACCUGAACAACCAGACUUCAAAGCAGCUUGACCAAAUCGGAGGGUGCCUCGUUGCUUAUCGUGAAUAUUACACCGACAUGAAUUACUACAAGUAUACUGGUCUGUCCAAUAUGCAUUGACGGUAUUGGGUAUGGUACCUGCUCUGAGAAGGGAAUCGCUGGAGCCACAGUCCAACCGUAUACAGGCUUUCAAGAAACAGAGAGGAGCCAUCUUUGCAAGCUGAUACCUGAUGUGUACGGACAGAAUUCUCACGAGAUACCUUACAGACUAUGCCUGGUGUAUACAUCAUAGUACUCCUUCGACUACUGUCUAGAAUCAAGUCGACUGAAACAAGUUCAAACAACUCUGGCUUCAAACGAGCCGUCGAUUAGACAAACAAAACAUUCUCUCAUAUACUAGAGCACUCUGACAACUCACGACCUAUUCCUAACGAUUGCCACCGCUUAUAAAUAUGUAGAGUACUGAUUGGAAUGUGCUCACAAUCUCAACUAGUCAGUGCUAUAAUUAUUUGAACUAUGUGUUCCUUCCAUAAAUGUUGUAUCCACAUAUAAUCCACAGUGCUGCAAAGUUUCAGAGUUCUCAGGGUAUCAAACAAAAUUAUUUCAAAUACAGUGAAAUUGUUCGUGGACAUUAUUAUAGCGUAACUUGUAGUUCCCUGGUCCUUUUCUUUGCUAUAAAUUUAUUCCUUUGCUCUCUAGCCGCCGGCGAGUCCAACAGUGAAAUUGUUAGUUCA